rnacentral:sRNA from 1 species
AUUAUUUUUAUACUGUCUUUCAUAUAUACAAAUGAUGCUCUUGGAAUUGUUUUUCUCCUGGUGAUACUAUUGACUCAGCCUCAGUGGAGAGAAUUCAGUCCUAUGUCUGCUUAGGUAUAAAAAGCAAACAAUGUUUUCAGUUCUGAACUAGUUUAAUAACACAUUUGGCAAGUUCGGUUUCUUCAGAUAUUAGACAUUUAUUGAGUGCUCUUUUGUUUCAGUCUCAAAUGAUAUGAUAUUUACAUAGCAGGUAAAUUGAGAUGAUUCUCUGUCCUAAAUUUAUGGGGGGUUUUUUUAUGCAGAAAAAAGUCACGUUAAAUGGUUUCUUGGACACGCUUAUGUCAGAUCCUCCCCCGCAGUGUCUGGUCUGGUUGCCUCUUCUGCAUCGACUAGCAAAUGUGGAAAAUGUCUUCCAUCCGGUUGAGUGUUCCUACUGCCACAGUGAGAGUAUGAUGGGAUUUCGCUACCGAUGCCAACAGUGUCACAAUUACCAGCUCUGUCAGGACUGCUUCUGGAGGGGACAUGCCGGUGGUUCUCAUAGCAACCAGCACCAAAUGAAAGAGUACACGUCAUGGAAAUCACCUGCUAAGAAGCUGACUAAUGCAUUAAGCAAGUCCCUGAGCUGUGCUUCCAGCCGUGAACCUUUGCACCCC